GAUGAAGAACGUAGCGAAAUGCGAUACGUAAUGUGAAUUGCAGAAUUCAGUGAAUCAUCGAAUCUUUGAACGCACAUUGCGCCCCUUGGUAUUCCGAGGGGCAUGCCUGUUCGAGCGUCAUUAUAACCCCUCAAGCUCAGCUUGGUGUUGGGGCCUGCCGCACGGGCAGCCCUUAAAAUCAGUGGCGGCGCCAUCUGGCUCUAAGCGUAGUAAUUCUUCUCGCUAUGGAGUCCUGGUGGAUGCUUGCCAUCAACCCCCAAUUUUUCUAUGGUUGACCUCGGAUCAGGUAGGGAUACCCGCUGAACUUAAGCAUAUCAAUAAGCGGAGGA
rnacentral:misc_RNA from 1 species